rnacentral:rRNA from 1 species
AUUGAACGCUAGCGGUAUUCUUUAAUCAUGCAAGUCGAACGAGUGGCGGACGGCUGAGUAACAUUUCGGAACGUGCCCAGUCGAGGGGGAUAAUUACUUGCAAGAGUGGCUAAUACCGCAUAAUAUUGGAGCGGCCGAUAUCGGAUUAGCGAGUGGGGGGGGUAAAGGCUCACCAAGGCAACGAUCCGUAGCUGGUUUGAGAGGACGACCAGCCACACUGGGACUGAGACACGGCCCAGACUCCUACGGGAGGCAGCAGUGGGGAAUUUUGGACAAUGGGGGAAACCCUGAUCCAGCCAUCCCGCGUGUAUGAGAAGGCCUUCGGGUUGUAAAGUACUUUUGGCAGAGAAGCGGUAUCUGCAGAAUAAGCACCGGCUAACUACGUGCCAGCAGCCGCGGUAAUAC